UCGCUUUUGGUCGUGGUGUUUAUUACAGCUGGAGAAGGCAACCUAGGACAACUGCUGCCCACCAAGUUACCAUGGCAACCAGGUAAACUCUGUGCCUCCAUAGCCAUAAACACAAAAGAAAUGAGGGAGCCCACAGAGGUCCACAAGGGGUGGGUGAGCACAGGGGAGGGGGUGAACAGUGUGUAAGUCAACUGGAGAGGAACAGGAACAUCCUGAAGCAAGAGUCUGCAAGACUCCGUAUCACC
rnacentral:lncRNA from 1 species